rnacentral:tRNA from 1 species
CAUUAGAUGGCCGAAAGUAAGCAAUGAAAUUUUAAUUCAUACAAUUGUAGAAUAACACCUACAUCUAAUG